AGAGCGAACGCUGGCGGCAGGCCUAACACAUGCAAGUCGAGCGCCCGUAGCAAUACGGGAGCGGCAGACGGGAGAGUAACACGUGGGAACGCGCCCUUCGGUUCGGAAUAACUCAGGGAAACUUGAGCUAAUACCGGAUACGCCCUUACGGGGAAAGAUUUAUUGCCGAAGGAACGGCCCGCGUCCGAUUAGCUUGUUGGUGAGGUAAUGGCUCACCAAGGCGACGAUCGGUAGCUGGUCUGAGAGGAUGACCAGCCUCACUGGGACUGAGACACGGCCCAGACUCCUACGGGAGGCAGCAGUGGGGAAUAUUGGACAAUGGGCGCAAGCCUGAUCCAGCCAUGCCGCGUGGAUGAUGAAGGCCCUAGGGUUGUAAAGUCCUUUUAACGGGGAAGAUAAUGACGGUACCCGUAGAAUAAGCCCCGGCUAACUUCGCGCCAGCAGCCGC
rnacentral:rRNA from 1 species